rnacentral:rRNA from 1 species
UACGAAGGGGGCUAGCGUUGUUCGGAAUCACUGGGCGUAAAGCGCACGUAGGCGGAUUGUUAAGUCGGGGGUGAAAUCCUGAGGCUCAACCUCAGAACUGCCUUCGAUACUGGCGAUCUUGAGUCCGGAAGAGGUUGGUGGAACAGCUAGUGUAGAGGUGAAAUUCGUAGAUAUUAGCUAGAACACCAGUGGCGAAGGCGGCCAUCUGGACGGUAACUGACGCUGAGACGCGAAAGCGUGGGUAGCAAACAGG